UUCCUCUGGGUAAAGGAUAAUAAAUUUUUACUUAUUUGCCCAGGAACAAGGGUUCACAGUUCAGUGCCCAGUACACAUUCAGAUGGUCAAAAAUUUUAUCCAUCAUGCGCCAGGAACUAUUCUAGUCUGUAGUGAUAAAGUGGUCACAAAGGCAAAUGAAUUCUCUGCCAUGAAAGAAUUUACGUUAUAAGAAUAAUGUAGAUAUAAAAUAAUUCCGACCUGCUAAAGUAGUAUAAACAAAGUAUAUAAUGUUAUGUAAUGCACAAUGAUGGCAUGAUGGUGAUGGAGGUGACAAGUAGAGUUAGAGAAGGCCUCUCAGGGGAAAGCACUUCAAGUAAGAUCAAAAUACUGGAAAUGAGGCAUCCAUGAGAGAAAGUAGGGACAGAAAAAAUGACAAUUGCAAAACCCAAGAGACAUAAUGGAGCUGGGUUUAUUUAAGGAACAGGGAUCAUUAUGCCUGGAGUAUUGGCAAUGCAGGAAAUAUGGAGGAAGAAGUUAUAGAGGAAAGCAGGAACCCAAUCAUGUAUGGCCUCUGUAGCCUUUGGCAAGGAGUUUGAAUUUUAUCCUGAUUACAAUUGGAAGGCAGUAGAGGGAUGGAAAAAUAGAAAGAAGGAGCAAUAGAGCAAGAAAAGAGAAUGUAAGGGAGGGAAGGACUGGUUACCUUAACUCGGGCAUCACCAAAGACUGUUCCAGUUGCUAAGGUCAGAAUGAACAAGAGUUGUGAAACCAUGGAAACCUGGAACAGCAUGUGUUGUUUUCUAUUAAUAAAGUGAUUUUCCACAAUCACUCUUCAAGUGAAGGGAGAAUGGAUAAGAGGGCAUGUUAAAGGGCAGAUUUUUAAAGAGAACACACAGAGGGCUAUAAUUUUAGAACAGAGACUAAAAAUUAGAAUGAGACCUAAAGGUUUCUUUUAAGAAAAGAAAGAGAAAUAUGUUUGUAACAUAUAAAUCCUAAGAGAAAUGUAUGCUCAGAUAGGGCAAUACAUUCAGAACAGCUCUCAGAAGUUUGCACUUUUGGUUCUUCCAAAAACUGAAUCAUCAUAAACAUAGAAGUAACUGUUGCUAUGCCUCCUUGACAUUAGAUGUGGUCAUUUCCUGUCUGAGAUGAUUGCCAAGUAUGUACUUGCAUACAAGUUGGUCUUCCAACGGGAUGAAAAGGUAAAAAUGGCACCCAGCCUUUUAGAUAGAAUGAAUUGUUACACAUGGAAAACUACUCCUGAAAGAAACAAAGAGGUGAAUAUUUCCAAGGGAAACCAUCAUCAAGGGGCAAGGGUGUUAAAGAAUAUACUGAGAAGAAAUUGAGAAGGAAAGAUUUGCUCUUUUGGAACGUGAACAAUGAUAAUGCUCCAAGUGUCUCCUGGAAAGGGUUUGGCACACUUAGAAAAAUAAGGAAGAAUAAGAUUUGGUCUCUGCCAGAAAGUAUAUGUAAUCCAACUAAAGAGCUGUCAUGGAAACUACUAGCAUGAGUUGGAAACUAAAAUUGAAAGAGUCCUGGAUAGUGUGUUCCUGUAAGAUCAACUUGCCUCUGGAGAGCAAUAAUAAAAGACUGCAGAUGCAGUUGUUCAGGUCAUUACAAACUCUAGGAAAUUAACAGAAUUAAACAGGCCGAGGAUCUAUGAUUGAUACCAAAGAUAAUUUUCUGGAUACCCUGAUGGAAAACAGCUGAAAUAAUAGUAUUUCUAUCUUUUGCUAUGAAUCUUCUUAAGAUAAAGUGAACACACAGAGUUUGUAUGGAGACUGAAUGAUUUUAUUUCACAUAAAUAAAAGAAACAGAUUAAAGGAACUACCAAAAACCCUAAGAAGUUUGUACUCUUAAUAUCCCAUCUUACUGAUCACUAAAUUCUGCCUACAGAGUAGAAAGUUAAGAACCUGUCCAAGAUUCUCAACCCAGUCUAGGAGAAACUUUUAUCAGAUAUUAUACAAACAGGAUCUAGUGAUAAAAGAUAAACAAGUGACUCACAAUAUAAAGAGAUAACAAGAUACUAACAGAAAGUAGGAAGCUGACAAUAAAUAAGAAAAACUGUCGAACUUAUUCAAAAUGGUGGACUUGGCACAUGCUGUAGCCUUCCCUCUAAAAUAAGUCCACAGAAAUGUCUGGAAGGAGAUUUAUAAAACUUCCUUACCAUGCCAGAAAACAAGAAGAAUUUCUUUCAACAGAGUGUGAGAAAAUCCAAAGACUGAAAUCAAAAGAGAGGAGAUUAAACUAGAAAACUACAGUCCAAAAUGAAUUCAGGACUGGAUUGCCACAAAAGUUUCAUAUACUUGGCUCAGGAGAGAGCCCUGAGAAGAUUGUAGUCUAUUAAGUGUGCAAUAGCGUUAUAUCUAAAAAAUAAUGUUUAAACCUUAGCUUAAAAAGAAUUUAUUGCUGGGGCACCUGGGUGGCUCAGUCGGUUAAGCACCCAACUUUGACUCAGGUCAUGAUCUCACAGUUCGUGAGUUUAAGCCCCAUAUCAGGCUCUCUGCUGUCAGUACUGAGCCUGCUUCAGAUCCUCUGUCCCCCUCUCUCUCUGCCCCUCAUCUGAUCUCUCUGUCUCAAAAAUAAACAUUUAAAAAAUAAUCUAUUGGUAAUUUUUCAAUGUAUCCUAAUCAUUGCUCAUAGAUCACCAUAACAAAUAUAAGUUUGAAAUAGUGCAAGAAUUAGCAAAAUGUGACUGACACAAUGUGAGCAAAUGCUGUUGAAAAAAAUGGCAUCAAUAGAUCGUUCAAUGCAGGGUUGCCACAAACUUUCAGUGUUGUUGUAAAACAAAACAACAAAAAUGCAGUAUCUGCAAAGCACGAUUAAGUGAAACAGAAUAAAAUAAGGUAUGUCUAUACAGGGAAGCUACUAGUAGAUCUUACAUUCAAAGAUGAAUACGUAACCAAAAUUACCAAUCAUUUGAAAAAGGUGAAUACUUGAAAGAAAAGACAUCAAGCACAACACAGAGAAGAGAUUUGCACAUUCAGAAAACAGUAUAAUUCAUUUCUGGAGUGACCUGAGAAGAUGUUGCAGCCAUGCUUAAAGUUAGCUAGAUGUUUGCUAAACUAAACAUAAGAUAGAUGAAAUAAAAAAAA